CAGGCUCCCCAUUUUAUCGGGCUGGAGCCAUCCCACCAUGGUGGUGUCUCCAUCCCAGGUCCUUAGGUGCUGGGACCGCGCCCCCACCCCAAGCCUAGCUGAACUCUGAGUGCUAAGUUGCCUUUUCCAGCUAUCUCACUCUCCAGGCCUGCACAUCUGGAACCAUUCACAACGUGGUGGUUGAAAUUUCCACUAAUUCAAAUGGAAUGCUAGGGAUGGAGGCCAUGAGGAGGCCCUCGGCUUCCCUCAAGUCCAGGCAAGUCACUCUGCUGGAAGAAGCGCAUGCGUCAACAAACAUCCUAGAAAGAGCUCCCCAGAGCAGAGCCCCGAACCUGGGGCAAUGGAGAAUGGAGAAGCUCAGCUCUGGAUACGGUGGCCCUGAGAGACCAAGCCUAUGACACAGAUAACAAGCUCCAACGUCCUCGCCCAUUUUACAUGGUUCAUUGGUACGAACUAGAA